AUUAAGUACCUGAAUGUAAUUGUAUCCAUGAUCGGAGAAUAUGUUUCUUCAUAAUCAACUCCUUAUCUUUAAGAGAAACUUUGUGCAACAAGUCGGGCUUUAUAUCGUGUUAUCUCAUAUUUCUCAUUUCU
rnacentral:sRNA from 1 species